rnacentral:rRNA from 1 species
GAUUAUGGCUCGGGAUGAACGCUGGCGGCGUGCCUAACACAUGCAAGUCGAGCGAUCUCUCGGAAGAGAGCGGCGGACGGGUGAGUAACGCGUGGGUAACCUGCCCUGUACACACGGAUAACAUACCGAAAGGUAUGCUAAUACGGGAUAACAUACUUUUAUCGCAUGGUAGAAGUAUCAAAGCUCCGGCGGUACAGGAUGGACCCGCGUCUGAUUAGCUAGUUGGUAAGGUAACGGCUUACCAAGGCGACGAUCAGUAGCCGACCUGAGAGGGUGAUCGGCCACAUUGGAACUGAGACACGGUCCAAACUCCUACGGGAGGCAGCAGUGGGGAAUAUUGCACAAUGGGCGAAAGCCUGAUGCAAGCAACGCCGCGUGAGCGAUGAAGGCCUUCGGGUCGUAAAGCUCUGUCCUCAAGGAAGAUAAUGACGGUACUUGAGGAGGAAGCCCCGGCUAACUACGUGCCAGCCGCUGC